rnacentral:tRNA from 1 species
AAUAAAGUGCCUGAAAAAGGGUUAUCUUGAUAGGAUAAAUAAUGUAAAUUUAGCUUUGCCUUUAUUA